AACUAAAACCCAGUGUGUGCGAAUUGCUACAAAAGCAGCAGCAACAGAAGAACCGGAAGUGAUCCCAGACCCGGCGAAGCAGACAGACAGGGUGGGUGAAAAUCGCGGGCAUCAGUGCUGGCGUCUUAGUGUUCAUUCUUCUCCUCCUGGUUGUCAUAGUGAUUGUGAAAAAGAGGAGGAGCUACUAUUCUUACUCCUACUACCUGUAAGUAGAAGAAAUGGGUCACUACGACUUUACAUGUGUCCAAAAUGGUCACUAUGACUUUACAUGUGUCCAAAAUGCAAUCUCCCUUUUCAAAAAGCCCACAGAGACAGUGUUUUGAGUUUGGUGGUCUUUCAAAAAAUUCUAUUUUUUCUGGACGCUCAGACUAUAGAAUGUUAUCUCUUUUGAUAAUCUUUUUUUAAAAGGGAUAUUGUGCUUCUGUAUGUUCAGCUACUAUUAAUUUUUAACUACAGUUUUUCCAUGAGUAGCUUUCUCCUACAGCUAAGAACAUCAUUUAUUUACUUAUGUCAAGUCUGUACCCUCUUAGCAAUAUAUUUAUACAUCU
rnacentral:lncRNA from 1 species